rnacentral:rRNA from 1 species
UACGUAGGUGGCAAGCGUUGUCCGGAAUUAUUGGGCGUAAAGCGCGCGCAGGUGGUUUCUUAAGUCUGAUGUGAAAGCCCACGGCUCAACCGUGGAGGGUCAUUGGAAACUGGGGAACUUGAGUGCAGGAGAGAAGAGUGGAAUUCCGCGUGUAGUGGUGAAAUGCGUAGAGAUGCGGAGGAACACCAGUGGCGAAAGCGGCUUUCUGGUCCUUAACUGACGCUGAGGCGCGAAAGCAUGGGGAGCGAACGGG